CAGUAGCCACGGUAAUACGAAGGGGGCUAGCGUUGCUCGGAAUCACUGGGCGUAAAGGGUGCGUAGGCGGGUCUUUAAGUCAGGGGUGAAAUCCUGGAGCUCAACUCCAGAACUGCCUUUGAUACUGAAGAUCUUGAGUUCGGGAGAGGUGAGUGGAACUGCGAGUGUAGAGGUGAAAUUCGUAGAUAUUCGCAAGAACACCAGUGGCGAAGGCGGCUCACUGGUCCAUUACUGACGCUGAGGUGCGAAAGCGUGGGGAGCAAACAGGAUUAGAUACCCCCGUAGUCCCUGUCUCUUAUAC
rnacentral:rRNA from 1 species